GAAGCGUUGCUACCUAAUUGUAGUAUAUAUGUUCAUACUCUGUUUCGUUUGGUUUUUCAAGCUUAAUUCCUAGUACAAUAUUUUCAGAAUCCCAACUUCUGAUACCCUUGUUCGGUCCGCAAUAUCUUUGUUUUGCAUUUAUCUCAUACACACACACACACACACACACACACACACACACACACACACACACACACAUAUAUAUAGAGAGAGAGAGAGAAAGGUAUUAAUAUUAAUUAUCGAUCAUCUGUCUAUUAUAUAAUAUAUAAUGGCUGUUGGAGUUCCUCUAUGCGUGCAGUGCGGAACGACAAGCAACCCAUGCCGGUGCAAGGUGGUGGGGCCAACUAUUGGGUUUUUGGCGUUUGUGGCAGCUGCCGUGGUGGAAUGGCCGGCGGGGGCAGUGGUGUACUUAUUCCGGCACAUGAAGGGCAGGCGCAUCAUGGCUCAUCCUGCCACCGUCGUCUAUCAUAAAGUCUCCAGUGCUAUUCCUAUCUGAAUUAACUUAUUACCCGUGCAAUUACUACAAUAAAUAAUAAUAGUAAUAAUAAUAAUAAUAAUAAUAAUAGUAAUAGUAGUUAUUCCAUGCAUGUACCCUGCUUUAUGCAGCAUUAAUGCUCAGUUGCUUUUUAAUUUAUUGUUAAUAACUACUAGUACUACUUUUCUUUACUAAUAAAGGGGCUUGUGUUGUGCGUCUCCCAGUACUGUAUGUAUGAUGAUUCUUGGUUUGUAAGAAUUAGCAAAUCUAUGUAAUACACCCUCCAUCUCCUUUGACUAGCUUGUAUAAAUGUCAGUAUUUAUGGUCCUAACAACUAACAAUC
rnacentral:lncRNA from 1 species